rnacentral:rRNA from 1 species
UAACUACUGGAAACGGUAGCUAAUACCGCAUAACGUCGCAAGACCAAAGAGGGGGACCUUCGGGCCUCUUGCCAUCGGAUGUGCCCAGAUGGGAUUAGCUAGUAGGUGGGGUAACGGCUCACCUAGGCGACGAUCCCUAGCUGGUCUGAGAGGAUGACCAGCCACACUGGAACUGAGACACGGUCCAGACUCCUACGGGAGGCAGCAGUGGGGAAUAUUGCACAAUGGGCGCAAGCCUGAUGCAGCCAUGCCGCGUGUAUGAAGAAGGCCUUCGGGUUGUAAAGUACUUUCAGCGGGGAGGAAGGGAGUAAAGUUAAUACCUUUGCUCAUUGACGUUACCCGCAGAAGAAGCACCGGCUAACUCCGUGCCAGCAGCCGCGGUAAUACGGAGGGUGCAAGCGUUAAUCGGAAUUACUGGGCGUAAAGCGCACGCAGGCGGUUUGUUAAGUCAGAUGUGAAAUCCCCGGGCUCAACCUGGGAACUGCAUCUGAUACUGGCAAGCUUGAGUCUCGUAGAGGGGGGUAGAAUUCCAGGUGUAGCGGUGAAAUGCGUAGAGAUCUGGAG